rnacentral:lncRNA from 1 species
UUCAUGACCUUUAUGGGUCGACUCAUGACCUUUACAAGUCGACUCAUGCAUCGUUGACACCUGACCUAUACAGGUCGGCACAUACUACGGAUUUUUGUCUGAAAAACAAUUUUUAAUCAUCCAAACACUACCUUAUAUGUCAAAAACUAAUGUUACAAAAAUAUGUCAAUAUAGAUCCAAUUUCUUAUUAUUAUAGCUUCCUAACUCAUCAUUUACUCCAUACAUUCAUGUAUCAGCACCAUAUUAUCACAACAUC